GUGAAUCAUCGAAUCUUUGAACGCAAAUUGCACUCUCUGGUAUUCCGGAGAGUAUGCCUGUUUGAGGGUCAGUUCAUAUAUAAAUCGGCGUGGUUGUUGUCUUUCGUGGUGACGCACCGGAUCUGGGAAGACUUGUCUUCGGUUAAGUGACCUAACAUUUUGCAUGAUUUUUUUCUCACGUAUUUAAAUGAUUUUACGUUAGUUUGCGAUAUCGCAUACUAGGUGUGGUCAUCUUCAUGAUUCGCGCCUAUAAUGUUUCAUCAAAAUGAACUCAA
rnacentral:misc_RNA from 1 species